rnacentral:rRNA from 1 species
UACGUAGGGUGCAAGCGUUGUCCGGAAUUAUUGGGCGUAAAGAGCUCGUAGGCGGUCUGUUGCGUCCGCUGUGAAAACUCGGGGCUUAACCCCGAGCCUGCAGUGGAUACGGGCAGACUAGAGGUAGGUAGGGGAGAAUGGAAUUCCCGGUGUAGCGGUGAAAUGCGCAGAUAUCGGGAGGAACACCGGUGGCGAAGGCGGUGCUCUGGGCAACAACUGACGCUGAGGAGCGAAAGCUAGGGGAGCGAAUGGG